UACAGAGGGUGCGAGCGUUGUCCGGAAUCACUGGGCGUAAAGGGCGCGUAGGCGGUUUGUUGCGUCGGCUGUGAAAUCCCGAGGCUCAACCUCGGGUCUGCAGUCGAUACGAGCAAACUAGAGUGUUGCAGGGGAGACUGGAAUUCCUGGUGUAGCGGUGAAAUGCGCAGAUAUCAGGAGGAACACCGGUGGCGAAGGCGGGUCUCUGGGCAACAACUGACGCUGAGGAGCGAAAACGUGGGGAGCGAACAGG
rnacentral:rRNA from 1 species